rnacentral:rRNA from 1 species
AUACGGAGGGGGCUAGCGUUGUUCGGAAUUACUGGGCGUAAAGCGUACGUAGGCGGAUCGGAAAGUAAGGGGUGAAAUCCCAGGGCUCAACCCUGGAACUGCCUCUUAAACUCCCGGUCUUGAGUUCGAGAGAGGUGAGUGGAAUUCCUAGUGUAGAGGUGAAAUUCGUAGAUAUUAGGAGGAACACCAGUGGCGAAGGCGGCUCACUGGCUCGAUACUGACGCUGAGGUACGAAAGUGUGGGGAGCAAACAGGAUUAGAAACCCUAGUAGUCC